rnacentral:rRNA from 1 species
UUGCCAGCGAUUAGGGCGGGAACUCAAAGGAGUCUGCGAGUGAUAAACUGGAGGAAGGUGGGGAUGACGUCAAGUCAUCAUGGCCCGUACGACCAGGGCUACACACGCGCUACAAUGGCGCAUACAAAGAGAAGCGACCUCGCGAGGGCAAGCGGGCCGCAUAAAGUGCGUCGUAGUCCGGAUUGGAGUCUGCAACUCGACUCCGUGAAGUCGGGAUCGCUAGGAAUCGUGGAUCAGAAUGCCACGGUGAAUUCGUUCCCGGGCCUUGUACACACCGCGAGUCACGCCAUGGGAGUGGGUUGCAAAAGGAGUAGGUAGAUUAAGCUUCGGGAGGCCGCUUACCACUUUGUGAUUCAUGGCUGGUGUGAAGUCGUACCAAGGUAGCCGUGGGGGCGCCUGCGGUUGGAUCACCUCCUUGCCUUAAAGA